CUUAGUUUUGUAAAGUGAAAAGAGAUUUUAUGAUAGUGUACGUCAGGGUGCUAGCUCAUGCUAGUGAUGUUUGUACAUCAAGUGUAGAAAGCCGCGGAUUUGUUGUUCCGAUCAGAUAUGAUUGAGAAGAAGGCUUGUAUGCUAGGUGCAGAAAAUGUACUGAAUACACAUUGUUCUAGGAUUUUCAUAUUGUUCGGCGGCAGAACAAAAGAUGGAUACAUAAUUUAAUGAAGAAAUACCAAAAGAUUAAGUUUGGCGACUAGCUUGGGUUUACGUGAAGAUUUUAGGCGACAAGUAAUAAGUCGCACGUAAUAGCUUUGGUGUUCCUCACGUAGGCGCGACAAUAGGAUUACUUCGCUAUGUUGACAAUGAAGGAAGAAGUGUAAACAGUGGUUGGCUGGUAUGUUAUAAUGUUUCGUUUCGUCAGAAAUAUGUGCAAUGUGAUGUUUAUAAACUGAAUUGAGUUUUAAAUGACGGCAAAUUUCCUUCCAAAUAAUGUGCUUAACCGAAUAUUAUGGCUGUCUUAUCAUAUGUCUUAUCAAAUGCAUGACGUGUUAUUGAUGUGGGGCAGUGAAAGAGUGAUAGGUAACGGCAGGUCUACACGGCGCUGCGACUUUUCUGCGACCGGGUUUCCGCGAACACGGAAGUGCCAAAGUAAUAAACAAAAUUGUCUAAGUCGGCCAACUCGUAUGUCAAAGGUGUUCAAAAGGCAGAAACUGGCGGUCGAAGGAUUAUCGCAGCGCCGUGUAGAACUGCGCUAAGGAAAAAGUGUUAGCUAAUGUGCAACGGAUAAUUUCACCAUUGCAAUUCAAGUUUCCAUGCUCGAGCCGACGACCAGCGUUUCAAUGUAAAAAAGUGUGAUAACAAGGGCUAAGGAUAUUUUGUUCACCGGUAAGUAGAAGAAGAUAGGUAAGUGUCAAUCAUCAUUACAUCCGGGUAUCAUUGGAAACACUUCAAAUUGAUGUGCAAUGCAAUCACAUUUUUAUUGUUCGGGUGCCAUGAAUGAAGAAGUAUGUAUCACUCGCGUUCAAUAAUUACAAAUUAUUCAUUUAUUUUUUUGAUUCCAUAUUUUUAUUGGGGUUAGAAAAUCAAUUAUGAAUGCUAUUCUGUUAAACUUCCGUACCUUACCUGUAUGCUCGCAUUAUUCACGUAACUAUACCUUAGUUUGAUUUUAACGAUUUCUCCAACAAAAGAUAAACGGAUGAUCCAAAAGAAAAGUGGAUGCCAUGUUUGUAGUAAAAUUUCCUGGUUUAUAGUACUUUCAAUAAUUGAAUAGAAGGAUGUUACAAUGUUUCUUUAAUUCUCGAUUUUUUUUGCAA